rnacentral:lncRNA from 1 species
CUGCUUGGAUCCCCACCCUCUCCAUGGUUCUCUUGGGGCCCCCUCAGUUGGCCAAUAAGGGAUGGGCUGGAACCCAUGGCUGCCCCAUCCUCUGUCAUUAUUCUACAAAUGUCUUCAGAGUGGCCUGCUCCUCGGUCACGGCAACCUCCCUGGAUGGAAUCUCAGGACUAGCUUCACUGUUCUUAAGUAAGUGCUGCUGCAAUGUGUCAAGCUGCUCUCUAGAACACAGGCAGUUUGCCACCCCUUAUCUGUAACUCGUAGCUUUAGCCAGGAUUCAGAGACACAGGAACCACCCCCCACCACCACCACCCAUGGCCUGUUAAAGCUUUGCAAUGUGUAUCUGCCUGAUUUUAGCUUUAUUAAAGGCAACAUGGAUACACAGAGGCAUCUCACCCCCUGUCUGGAAGCUGCCAGCAGCCAGUGUCCGCGGCUCUCCCACGGCCUUGCUCUCAUGGUGCUAAGGAUACACAGCUCAUCCCCUGGAGCCGUGCUGGUUAAAGCCUGAGGUGGGAAACAACACUGCGGGCUGUUGCUUCCUGGAGCCGGGAGGUCAGCAGUCAUUUUUCCAGCUCUUUGCCGUGUCUAAUGACUGCUGCAGCCGCAGCAGGGAGAUGGAGUGUACCCAUCUCAUCGUGCCCUGGAGGAGGCCCCAGGGAUCCUCCAAGAUCGUGAUGCACUGGAAAAUGAAACCAACCACUGAGACAGAAGCCAGAAGGAGGCCCGGGUUUCAUGUUUUUCAAAUUUUAUUUUUAUUUCAGAAACCAUGGUGCCAAAAAACCCUUACCUGGAAUUUCAUUGCCUUAAGGAAUUUUUCUGGCCAAAGUGGGGCUGGGGCUGGGUGCUAACUCCUAUCUUGAUCUGCUUCCUCUCCUCAUGGUCCUGACAGGACUCUGAGGGACCUUGGGGAUGUACCGAGCAGAGAUGAAGAAAACACGCCUGUUGUCAGAAGACAGGAUUUGGAUACGGCGGUAUUACAGGACUUCUACAGGGUCUAGCAGCCUGAGUUGCAGUAGGCAAAGCCCGGCGUGUACUGUGGAGGGUGGAGACAGGUGGCUUAGCAGUAACUAGUAAAAGGACAAUUGGGGAACUUUUCCAUAAUUGGGAGGCUUACAGUAUGGCAUGAUGGUCAAAAAGCAUUGAUAAACCUGGAUUUAUGAAUGGGACUGUAAGUCAGACCAAGACUUAGAGGCCCAUCUUGUCUCCUUCCUUCACCCCGCUUCUCAUCAUAGCCAGUUGAUCAGGAGAGGGUAUUUGUCUGCUCACCAGAAAUUGCUCAGGCAACCUGUUGCUGCAACACUGCCGACCUGGUUGAUGGUGAUAAAGUAGAAACACCAAGGACUCUCUCUCCCUGUGGAGGUCUUGAAUUUAAAUCACAGAGAAUAUUUUAGGGAAAGACCACAAAUGACACCCUCCCAAGGAGGCAGAAGAAGUCAAGAGGCAUCCUGCACAGCAAGGAAGGUGGAGCCUGGAAUAUGUAGCUGCAGGAAGACAAGACAAAUGGAGAGGUGGCUGUGGAAGGUGGCUGGUGUCAACAGCAACAGAAGCAGAGACAGGGUGGAGGAGGGUCCCCUGCGAAGCGGCUAAAUUUCCCCGUGUUUGGAACUGCAUCAGAUCCUGAAUUACCCCACAGUUUUCAAAGCGUGUCUUGAUACUAAUCCAUCCCGGGGUUUCUAUGAUGUCCAAGUUCUUGUCUUCCUUUUGAAUCAUUUGAAUCUCCAUUUGAAUCAAGUCCCCACAAACCUGGUGCUAUAGCUCCUCUGAGAUUGUUCUUACUCAAUCAACAGAACCCAAUUCACCUGGAAGCAAUGCUGGGGAAAUGCUGGCUGUUAACUCCAUUCCUCUCCAUAUGGCUCAGACAAACCGGGCAGCUCUUGGCACUUCAGCUUUUGUAGGACAAUGACAAGCUGGUGUACAUUUGAAGAAAGGGCCCUGACAAUUAUGCCAUAUGAAGAGGAGAUGACUUUGAGCAGAGAGAUGGAAAAGACAAGAAUUUAGCUUCCAACAUUGAUUUCAAAUAUCUGAAGGGUCAAUAAAUAGAGAAGGGACUUUAUUUUGAGUAAAUGCCUCUACUGAGCCCAUAUACAAUGGAAUUUUCAUUAAAAUCAGUUUGAGGCUUCUCAUGGGCAAUAUUCCUCAAAACUGGAAUGUGUUACUUCAUCAAGUGGUGAGCUCCCCAUCAAAGAGGGCAAGCAAGCACAGUUUGCAUACUCCCUCUAAUGCUCUAGAAGGUGUUUCUGCGUUUGAUAGGUCACCAACAAGGCAAAGCCCAAAGGCCUCCACAGCCUGAGAUCCUUGGCUUCAUUCCUGAGCUUUUUAAUAGGAAACAGAGGUCUGAUCCUGCUGACCUGCUGAAAGGGAGGAAAUGGAACUUGUUGACUGUUGCUUUUUUAAAACUGAAUUUGGAAGCAGGCAAAAAUAAAUCUAUUUUCAGAGCAGCAAAUGCCAACACAAUUUAUAUCAAAACUCCCAUCUGCUCAACUGAAAGGUAUUACGGACCAAGCAUUUCAUGAGCCAGCAACAGGCUUGCUUGUUGAAGAAUAUUAGCUCCAUAGAGACCACCCUAUUAGGCCCCUGAAUCUAACUCCUUGCUAUUGUGACCAUCACUAGUAAAUUGUAUUUUCCCUGACUCAAAGGCAGAUCAUUGCUUUUCAAAAGUCUUACAUACAAUUGAAAUGUUUAAAAUGUCACAUGUACAAAUAAAAUCUUCAUUAGAAAAAAAUUCAAAAAUAGAAAUAUAUUACAGUCCUAAGUUAUAUGAGCUGCUAUAACAGAUGAACCUUAAUAUUUCAAUGACCUAACAAAAUCAAGGUGUUUUUAUUGUUGAUGCCAUGGUUUAAAAUGAAUUGGCAGGGGCUCUGCCCCAUAUAAGUAUUCAAGACCCCAGGUUUCUUCCAUCUCAGGACUCUCCCAUCAAAUAUAUCACCCAGGGCCUUAGAGUUCUUUCCUGGGUUUUAGCAUCUGGACUUUAAAUGAAUGGAGAGCCCAAAGUUUCAUGCAGGAGGUUUAUCAAGGUGCCAGGCUUUGAAGUAAUGUUGACUAUUUUUCCCAUACUCCAUUUCCAUUGGUGCAAACUAAUCCCAAGGACUCUGUGGGACAAAAGAGGGCUGGGAGAUGUUGGUGAACACACAAAGUCUCUUCCCUAAGAAACAGAAGAUAGGACUUUCCAGGUGUGUCUGGAGAUGGAUACUACAAGUCUGUCAGUGAAAUUGGAGUCAAACAUCAUGUUCUACUAAGGCGGACAUUGAGGAUACUAAAGCAUCUUCAUCCCUAAAGGGAGAAAGCAGCAUUGGAGUCAUUCCUGUGCAAUCUGGUGAUGGAUAAAUGAAGCAUUUUUCAGGGCAGAGUUAAUAUGUCGGAAUGGCCAAUAUUUCAUUGUUUGUAGUUAGAAAAAGAAGAAGUAGGAACUUGGAUAGAAAGUUUUUCAAGCAAUCUUGGGAAAAAGAAACAAGCUGUCAUCCAAAGCUUGGAAUCCAAAACCGAGAGUGGCUGCCUUCCUUGAUGCUACACGAUGUCACCAAGAACAGACACACAGUAGCUUGCCCCUGCAUGUGAGCAGGCUUCUUUACCCUUCAGGAGAUUGGUACUGUUUUAACAGUUUCCAAGGCAUUUUGCUCCCUGGCCAUAUCAAAUUAGGCUGGGAGGUGGGAGUCACCUUGGCUUUGUUAUAAAUGAGCCUUCAGAUAUUAAAAAAAGAUGCUUAUCCACCUUCUAUAUGGAAAUGCCAGUUGCCAUUGAAAUCUCUUAUACCUUCAUGGUGAAUGAUGCGCACGAAAACGGCUAAAGGCUGUGGAGCCUUUUCUUUCUGAAAAGGUAAAAAGGUUUAUGUUCUCAAAAUCUGUCUCAAUUUCUCACACUGGACUCCAGUUCUAAAUCUUAAUGGGGCCACUCUGCAGGUGGCACAGUGAGGUAGGAAGAGUGAAAGAGGAAGCUGGUGCAUUGUGAGGGAUGUGAUCUGUCACAAAGGAGACAGCAACUACUCCUGAAAUAAAGCUACUGCCAUCAUCAACUCAUAUAACUGGACUGUCUAAGGUGCCUAAGUUUCUGGUUAUUUGAAGCUAACCAGAAAAAAAAUCUUUUGCUGUAAUCCCUAGAAAUUUAUCAUUAACUCAAAAUCCACAUUCCCAAACAAACAUAAUGAGUACAGUAGGGUCUUUGCUUGGACUGAGGGUUUCAGUGUCCUGGAUUUAAAUUCUUUAAAUAUUUAUUCCUAUCAGGUUGGCCCUAAACAUAAAUGAAUAUCAUACAAAAUUUGCUUCUAGCACCACCUGGACUCUGCCUCCCAUUUCUGUUUUCUAUCCUCUUCCUGCUCCCCUCUUAUCUGUCUCUGCACCCU